rnacentral:lncRNA from 1 species
CACCUCCCCUCGACCUCCAUGAAACCAGGGGCUACCGCUGGAGACCAAUCGCCGGCCGCCUGUUGCUCGAGAACAAUUGUUGCCACCUGCUGCUAUGGGAGUCACCGUGGGCGGAUAAAACGACCAUAGCCAAGGCCUCCUUCCUCCCGCUCCAAGGCACCUCCGGCAGACAUGAGCUGCAAUGGCGAUUGGGACGCAUGUUGCAAUGACGAUCGACGGGGAGUGCAUCGACGGCGAGCAUUGAUGUACGACCCGACGGAGGCAAUGCUUGAACAAAUGUAUCCUUUUUUUUGCUGUAACUGGUGACAAAAUAGUUUCAAACCCCAAAUAGAAAAGCUUCAACCGGCUAUAAAGAAAGCUUCAUCCGAAACUGUCAACCAGGAAAAGCUUCAACCAUUGUCAAGGAAUGCUCUAGCGCUAGAUGAAAAAAGCUGCAACCAAACUGAAGAGAAUUUUUAUCGCUACACCCGGCCAGGGUUCUUUUUGCUACAUCCAUCCCUUCACUUUUGCUGCAACUGUCCUCGGUUUUUGCUAAGUCCAUUGUUUUUUUUGCUACGUCCUUCACCGUAGGAUUGUGACCUAUGACGGUGGGCGAUGAUAAUUGUGCUACAACCGUAGUCUCUUUUUGUUACGAUCGGCGGGAUGAUUUGCUACAUCCAUUCAUGACAGAGUUGUGGGCGAGACAACAACGGCGAUGGUUUUUGCUACACUCGCCUUUGGUUUUGCGAUGACCGAUGUUUUCUUUUGCUACAUCCCAUUUUACAUUAUGCUGGUGGUCAUUGUUCGCAGAAACUCGCGCGUCGACGGUAAGGGCUGGGGGCGGCGCACAAUAGCGCUGCAACCAUGGAGCAUCAACGACGGAGUUGCAGCUGGUCGAGGGGGAAGUUUCGAUCAAGGGGUCGUCGACGAGAUCUCCAACUGAAAUCGAUGAUGGGGGGUGGUUCUUCAACGAGCACCGUGGCCGGAGACGACGGACGCCCCUGCCGUCUUGAACGGGAACACCAUGAAUGACACCUUUUUUGGUUCCCGUGACGAGCUGCGGUAGGAGACGACGUCCGUGCUGCACGGCUGUUGUAUGCUUCAGGGAAGGGGGUGUGGAAAGAAUAUGAUCACGUAAGAGCAUCUACAACCACGUACACCUAAUUCGAUCCCUUAAGGGUGUGUUUGGUUGCAUUCUCAUCUCAACAUAGUCGUUCCUUUCUGUUGUUGCCUUGCACGUUGCGUGCUUCAUCGCAUCAGACCCUUCAGCUUUAGGGGGCACGCGAUAACUUAAUAAAAAGGGCGGUUCUAUGGGUCGGUAGAUUGGUCUAAAUUUAGACCGGUCUGCAUGUAGCCGUACGAUCCAACGUACAUCAACCGUUUGAUUUUAUGUCUCAGAGCAUGUACAGCCAUAUGAUUUUAUGCCUCAGAGCAUCUACAUCGGCAUGUAGUCGACAAAAUGUUGCAUGCAGGAAAAGAGAAAGUAAAGACGGAAAAUGAGGGCUCCGAUUGUUUCGAAAAGAAAAAAUGAGUCAAAGCGGACACGUCCGAACAUCGAUGGGACGGUAGCGGGGCUAGGAGUUACGUGGCAGCUCGAUCGAGCGUAGCAGAGGAUCCUUCCCAACCGACGCCGUUCUCUCGUGUAGUAGAUACCAUGGGCUGGCGAGCACGAACGAGGCGGACGACGCGCUGCGGUGCGAGAGUCAAGAGGCAAGCGCCCGAGUGGGGCUACCUCGGAGGAGCCAUGCAGUGAUGCUAGGCCGCAGGUUCAUACGGGUCAACCGCGUCCGCUGGACUCGCGCAAGACCCUCGUGCUCAUAGUCUCCAUUUUCUAUCUAGUCUUCACACCGGUGUCAGGCUUGUCUUUCGGGUUGUUUUAAAUAGAAAAUAAAGAACAAGAGAGAUGAAUAAAAGAUGAUUCAUUAGUCUUUAUUGAUGAUAACAAUGGGGUAUUUAUACCCG